AAAACAAACGUCAGUUCGGAAAGUCGGUUGGGAAAGUCAGUUGAUGGGCGAAGUGUGAGGCAAAGAUUUGAGAAGACUGAGGGGUUAGGGUCAAAAGUGGAGAGCUGAGGUCUGAAUAUUAAGAUACUCACCCCAAGUGUGUUAGCAAUACUUGGCUGGUGAAGAACUGAAGAAGGAAGCCAGUGGUUGGGUUAGGCUAAGAUGGUUGCCCUGACUAAAGGUCUCGCCAGAAGACGCAGGCCUUGAAAAAUUGCUAAACAGUCAAAGUUAGCCAGAAACACAAAUGGGAUCCAGCUACUCAACCCACUUAUUCUAUAAGCUACAACAGAAUGCUUUAAAACAAGAACUUCAAACUUCAGCAGGUAGAGAAGACCUUGUGGGUACCAAGGAAGGAGUAUAUGGGUGACACACUGGCAACCCCUGCCUUAGUUUGAGUUACCUCUUAGAGACAUGUGUAAAAAAAGGAAGGUGAUGAUUUCUCCUGGAGGAGGUUUAGCAAAGGUUAUUCCACACCCCUUCUGUUCCACGGAGAUCUUUUUCCAGCACAUUCUGCACACACUCAUCCAGUUUUGCAGAGAGUCUGUAAUACAUAUUAUCAAACAGCUGGUUGGAUAAUAGAGAGCUUCAAGGUCCAGGCCAUUGAUUUUAUUUUUAUUUAUUUACUAAAAUUUGUAAGUCGCUUCCUUGACAGAAGGCAA